UAGUUAUUCGGUGUCUCUCGACCCCUUCACCUCUCAUUUGAAAAUCCCAUAAGAAAAACUGAAACUCAAUUUCUCAUUACCAUCGCCCAUCUCUCUCAACGAUCCAUAUCUCUUUAGGCAGAUCCCGUUUCUAUCUUUCACGAUUUUUCUUAGCAAAUCGGGAUCUCAGUUUUUACUUCAAUCUAGGGUUUCUAUCUACCUCUCAUGCUCUGAAAUUUUUCCACUUUGAUCUUGUGUGAAAAAAGCUCUCUCUCUAUCUUCAUUGGAUAACCACAUGAAUUUUAUCCAUCUUUAUAUCUCUCGAUUCUUCUCGAAGGAAAAAUUCUGGCUUUGAAGGCUCCCCUGUUGAUGCUUUUCGACAAGCCAUAAUAUCAGAUGAACUAUUACCAGCUAUAUAUGAUGACUAUCAUAUGAUGCUAAGGCAAGGAAGUUUGACAUUGAAAAAACUAAGCACAUGUGGGCUGAAGUGAUUCAGUGGAGGAAGGAAUUUGAGGCUGACUCCUUAAUGGAGGUAAAAACGAGAUUCUUUUUAUCAAGGUGCAGCACCAUCUACAUAUCCUUAAGAUUGCGGUGUUGUUCAGUUCUAGAGUACUGUACAGAUGAGCAACAAAGUCGGAUCAUAGUGGAGGAGAUUUUGGAAUUUGCAUUUCCAAGCUUGUCUAAUUGCACACACUUCAGAGAGAUCUGGAGUUAGAGAUUGCAACAGAAAAGAGCAAUAUGAAGCCUGAUGAGUAACUGGACAAAGAAGUUGCUUCAAAAAAGCUUCAACAAGUAUAUAAAACGCUUGAGUUCAUUGGUGCACUUUCAGUACGGUUCAUCGGGAAGCUUCCAUUUUUGUAGUCAGUUCUCAAACUUCCAUGCUAUUGGUAUCCUUAGAAAGUUCCCCAGACAGUUCAAUAGUUUAAUGCGAAGUCAAGUUUUGUUGUAUUUCCACGUAAUUCUUUUUUAGCUUUUGAAGCUAGCAGAACUAUCUGGAUAAUCAAAAAUCAUGUAAAUUUUUUGCAUAUUUUUCGAUACUCAUCUGUUCCCAUGUCUGGUUAUUCCAAGUCUUAGAGAACAUUUUAUCAUAGUAUCAUGCAACGAGAAACUAAGACAUUGAUUUAUAGUCAUAUCUGAAAUGUACAAAAUGUAACGACACUUGUGCGUUUUUAGCUAGAGAUAGCUAGCUCAGAGUUCCCCAUUUAUGAGUACUAAACCUGUUGACUUUAAAUUAUUCCAAGACUAAUUUUUACUUUAGAAAUACAGUGGAAGGCGAUAAAAAGCUUUUCCCGACUCUUGCUCGUGUGCGCUUUAUAAAUCCCGAUCUGUUACUUCUUGACAGGUUUAUUAAUAUGAAACCCAAUUUAGGUCUGCAGUGUAUUGUGUUGCCGACGAGGAUACUUUCAACAGUUCAAUUGGUGUACCAAAGAGAUUGACUGAGCACAAAAUUCACUCAAGAGGAAGUUCGGGUGCCAUGAAGAAGAGAUCACGGAGGAUAAACUUCAAGAGUUGAUGACAUGACUGUGUUGGUCCAAAUUUUGGACAAACAUUAAUUUACAUCAACUUGAGCAUAUUUCGAUCAACUUAAUUUACGAAAAAUUGGUCUCCAAGUUUCACUGUUAAUUUACUUUAGUUGGUACUAAUGAGAAUACUUUUCUAUGAAGUAUACCGAUUUAUGUAAAUUACAUCAAACAUUAACUUGUAUCCAAGCUUAUUCAGUUUGGAAUUUCUAGUUCCUACUAAUUAAAUCAAUUUUAAAUACUAAAAA